rnacentral:tRNA from 1 species
GGAUGUGGCUCAGUUUGGUAGAGCGCCUGGUUUGGGACCAGGAUGCCGCAGGUUCAAGUCCUGUCAUCC